UGGCUCUGGCAUCGAUGAAGAACGCAGCGAAAGGCGAUACAUAAUAUGAAUCGCAAAUUUCCAGUGAAUCAUCGAGUUUUUGAACGCACAUAGCACCCGCCAGUAUUCUGGCAGGUCUACCUGUUCGAGCGUCGUUUCACCCCUCGAGCCUUCGGGUUCGGUGUUGGGGCUCGCGGAUGCCUCAGGGCUUCCUGCUACCCUGAAAUAUAGUGGCGGUCGUCACGUCUGUCCGGCAUACAGUAACUAAAAGCUACCAUGCGCGGCGGUCGGGACUGGCCUGCCUCGAAACCCAAGGUACGGUCAAACGUACCCGAAUCAUGACCUCGAAUCAGGUAGGGAUACCCGCUGA
rnacentral:misc_RNA from 1 species